CUACGGGUUGCAGCAGUGAGGAAUAUUGCACAAUGGGGGGAACCCUGAUGCAGCAACGCCGCGUGGAGGAUGACGCAUUUCGGUGUGUAAACUCCUUUUAUAUGUCAAGAAAAUGACGGUAGCAUAUGAAUAAGCACCGGCUAACUCCGUGCCAGCAGCCGCGGUAAUACGGAGGGUGCAAGCGUUACUCGGAAUCACUGGGCGUAAGGGACGCGUAGGCGGGUUGGAAAGUCAGGUGUGAAAUCCUACAGCUUAACUGUAGAACUGCACUUGAAACUUCUAAUCUAGAGUAUGGGAGGGGGAGAUGGAAUUAGUGGUGUAGGGGUAAUAUCCGUAGAUAUCACUAGGAAUACCUAAAGCGAAGGCGAUCUCCUGGAACAUUACUGACGCUAAGGCGUGAAAGCGUGGGGAGCAAACAGGAUUAGAUACCCCAGUAGUC
rnacentral:rRNA from 1 species